rnacentral:rRNA from 1 species
UGGGGAAUAUUGCACAAUGGGCGCAAGCCUGAUGCAGCCAUGCCGCGUGUGUGAAGAAGGCCUUCGGGUUGUAAAGCACUUUCAGCGAGGAGGAAGGUGGUGAGCUUAAUACGCUCAUCAAUUGACGUUACUCGCAGAAGAAGCACCGGCUAACUCCGUGCCAGCAGCCGCGGUAAUACGGAGGGUGCAAGCGUUAAUCGGAAUUACUGGGCGUAAAAGCGCACGCAGGCGGUUUGUUAAGUCAGAUGUGAAAUCCCCGGGCUCAACCUGGGAACUGCAUUUGAAACUGGCAAGCUAGAGUCUCGUAGAGGGGGGUAGAAUUCCAGGUGUAGCGGUGAAAUGCGUAGAGAUCUGGAGGAAUACCGGUGGCGAAGGCGGCCCCCUGGACGAAGACUGACGCUCAGGUGCGAAAGCGUGGGGCAGCAAACAGGAUUAGAUACCCCUGGUAGUCCA